ensembl:misc_RNA Metazoa_SRP Metazoan signal recognition particle RNA
GCCAGGUGUGGUGGUGUGCGCCUGUAAUCCCAGCUACUCAGGAGGCUGAGGUGGGCAGAUCACUUGAGGCCAGGAGUUCAAGACCAGCCUGGCCAACAUAGUGAAACCCCAUCUCUA